AAGACCUUGCGCUUUUGGAGCGGCCGAUGCCUGAUUAGCUUGUUGGUAAGGUAAAAGCUUACCAAGGCUUCGAUCAGUAGCUGGUCUGAGAGGACGACCAGCCACACUGGGACUGAGACACGGCCCAGACUCCUACGGGAGGCAGCAGUGGGGAAUUUUGGACAAUGGGGGCAACCCUGAUCCAGCCAUGCCGCGUGAGUGAAGAAGGCCUUCGGGUUGUAAAGCUCUUUCAGCCGGGAAGAAAAGGUUGCGAUUAAUAAUCGCAAUUUAUGACGGUACCGGAAGAAGAAGCACCGGCUAACUACGUGCCAGCAGCCGCGGUAAUACGUAGGGUGCGAGCGUUAAUCGGAAUUACUGGGCGUAAAGGGUGCGCAGGCGGUUUUGUAASUCAGAUGUGAAMUCCCCGGGCUUAACCUGGGAACU
rnacentral:rRNA from 1 species